UACAGAGGGUGCAAGCGUUAAUCGGAAUUACUGGGCGUAAAGCGCGCGUAGGUGGUUUGUUAAGUUGGAUGUGAAAGCCCCGGGCUCAACCUGGGAACUGCAUCCAAAACUGGCAAGCUAGAGUACAGUUAGGGUAAACGGAAUUCCACGUGUAGCGGUGAAAUGCGUAGAUAUGUGGAAGAACAACGGUGGUGAAGACGGUUUACUGGGCUGAAACUGACGCUGAGGAGCGAAAGCGUGGGGAGCGAACAGG
rnacentral:misc_RNA from 1 species